GAUAGUACUUACUACUUGGAUAACCGUGGUAAUUCUAGAGCUAAUACAUGCUAAAAACCCGACUCACGGAGGGUUGUAUUUAUUAGAUUAAAAGCCAAUGCCGUUCGGGGCUCCUUUGGUGAUUCAUAAUAACUUCUCGAAUCGCAUGGCCUUGUGCCGGCGAUGGUUCAUUCAAAUUUCUGCCCUAUCAACUUUCGAUGGCAGGGUCUUGGCCUGCCAUGGUUACAACGGGUAACGGAGGGUUAGGGCUCGACCCCGGAGAAGGAGCUGAGAAACGGCUACUACAUCCAAGGAAGGCAGCAGGCGCGCAAAUUACCCAAUCCCGAUUCGGGGAGGUAGUGACAAUAAAUACUGAUACAGGGCUCUUUCGGGUCUUGUAAUUGGAAUGAGUACAAUUUAAAUCCCUUAACGAGGAACAAUUGGAGGGCAAGUCUGGUGCCAGCAGCCGCGGUAAUUCCAGCUCCAAUAGCGUAUAUUAAAGUUGUUGCAGUUAAAAAGCUCGUAGUUGAACCUUGGGCCUGGCUGGCCGGUCCGCCUCACCGCGUGCACUGGUUCGGCCGGGCCUUUCCCUCUGGGGAUCCCCAUGCCCUUCACUGGGUGUGGUGGGGAACCAGGACUUUUACUGUGAAAAAAUUAGAGUGUUCAAAGCAGGCCUAUGCUCGAAUACAUUAGCAUGGAAUAAUAAAAUAGGACGUGCGGUUCUAUUUUGUUGGUUUCUAGGACCGCCGUAAUGAUUAAUAGGGACAGUCGGGGGCAUCAGUAUUCAAUUGUCAGAGGUGAAAUUCUUGGAUUUAUUGAAGACUAACUACUGCGAAAGCAUUUGCCAAGGAUGUUUUCAUUAAUCAGGAACGAAAGUUAGGGGAUCGAAGACGAUCAGAUACCGUCGUAGUCUUAACCAUAAACUAUGCCGACUAGGGAUCGGGCGAUGUUAUUUUUUGACUCGCUCGGCACCUUACGAGAAAUCAAAGUCUUUGGUUC
rnacentral:rRNA from 1 species